CGAAGGGGGCUAGCGUUGUUCGGAAUUACUGGGCGUAAAGCGCGCGCAGGCGGCUGAUCAAGUCAGGGGUGAAAGCCCGGAGCUCAACUCCGGAAUUGCCUCUGAAACUGAUCGGCUUGAGUACGGUAGAGGUGAGUGGAAUUCCCAGUGUAGAGGUGAAAUUCGUAGAUAUUGGGAAGAACACCGGUGGCGAAGGCGGCUCACUGGACCGUUACUGACGCUCAGGCGCGACAGCGUGGGGAUCAAACAGGAUUAGAUACCCUGGUAGUCCACGCCGUAAACGAUGAACGCUAGCCGUUGGCGAGCUUGCUCGUCAGUGGCGCAGCUAACGCAUUAAGCGUUCCGCCUGGGGAGUACGGCCGCAAGGUUG
rnacentral:rRNA from 1 species